CCAGAUGACUUGCCAAACACAGAGACUGUAUAUUUUCCUGUAUUGCUGAUGGAGUCUCGGACAAUGAAGCCACCAUCUUUGCCCUGAAAUUUGGAAGCAGGACUCAUUGCUCUCCUCCAGGACAAUGUACUCUUCGCCCUUUUGCAGCUCCAGGUCCUGUUCAGUCAUGGGGAGAUAGUCAUAGAGAGCCACGACUUUCCUCGUCCUAGACUGGCCACCAGGCACUGGUUCAGGGGGCAACUGCUUCUUCAUCAUCUUUGCCAGUGUUCAGAGAGGAAAUAAGAAAAGAAUGAGACUUUCAGGAUACCUCUUUCAGCACCUAUCACAGGUGGAAGGAACUUGAUGGAAAGCAGUCCUGAUGAGAGAAGAAUGGUCACGGAAACGAAUGGACUUGCAGAAAUGGCAAAACUUACCAGAAGAAUAAGAAAUCAAGACAAUAAACUUUUUUUAGUAA